UUGGUGAAGGAAUGGAAACGAUGGA
rnacentral:piRNA from 1 species